UACGUAGGGACCAAGCGUUGUCCGGAAUCAUUGGGCGUAAAGCGCGUGUAGGCGGGUCCUUAAGUCAGGGGUGAAAUGCCAAGGCUCAACCUUGGAACUGCCUUUGAUACUGGGGAUCUUGAGUCCGGGAGAGGUGAGUGGAACUGCGAGUGUAGAGGUGAAAUUCGUAGAUAUUCGCAAGAACACCAGUGGCGAAGGCGGCUCACUGGCCCGGUACUGACGCUGAGAUGCGAAAGCGUGGGGAGCAAACAGG
rnacentral:rRNA from 1 species